CGAAAGGAGAACUAUGGGUUAGAGGAACGUUGGUGGUACCAGAAGGAGAGAAUGGCAGCAAGUAGAAGAGACAGUCUUAAAAUCAGUCAUGUGGGGCAGAUGCUGACAUCCAAGAACCAGGACUGACUGGAGUCUUGAAGUGGUUGCCUGCUGAGAACUAUCUGGAUAGAAAUGGAGUCCAGAUCAUUUGAAUACCAACUCUUCAGGAAGCAAGAAAGAAGCCUAUUCUGGAAGAGCCGGUUGCAUUCUAAUAACCUGAAACAGCACACUUGGAUGACUGACAGUGGAACAAAUCUACAGCUGUGAAACCCAGGGGCACACCAUGCAGAACUUGUAUACUCAGAGGCCGCCCUGAGUUAAAAGCAGAAGAAACAGCAAGAGAGAAAAGAAGGGCUUAACAAGAUCACUGCAGUCCCCAGAUCAUUUGGUGGUCUUACUAGCUUUGCUACUUACCACAGUGUCUAACUCCUAACAGAUAUGUAAUAAAUAGCCCAUGGUUGAUUAAUGAAUUUCCUUAAUACUGAGUAGUUCCUUGUUUUUAAAUAUGCAUAAUAUUUUGUUCUUAAGGAUUUAGGACCUUUUCAAAGGAGUAUAGAACUAGUAGCUUAAUGGCUUCCCAUCUAAAGAGUAAGCAUCCUGACUUCAUAUGCCUGGGGUUCUGGAGGAUGCAGAAAGGAGCUAAAUUAGACAAAAAUGUAAGAGACUGCCUAGCUAAAACUUCCUACAGUAACUGUGUAUAUGCUACUCUUCUCCUGGCAUGAAACAUUCCAUUCACCUGCUCUAGACACAUUUUGAAUAGGAGUGGCCAUCUUGUUAGGUGCCUUCCAUCCUAGCCCUUUGGUUGAGAG